CUCCUGCCUCAGGCUCCCAACAUGCUGGAAUUACAGAUGUGAGCCACGCGCCUGGCAAGAACCUUCUAUCUUACACCACUCUUGUGGGGCUGUCCUCUUCUCAGAGCCCACUGCACAGAUAGCUGCUUUGCACACACAAAUAGAACCUUCAAGUCUCAGCUCAGGGGUUUCUGUACAUUUCUGUAUUUGCAGCACUCAUUUUCCUGGCUUGAGGGCAAAUUAAUAGGAUGACAAACUGACUUCUGGAGUAGUUGAGGCUGUAAUACUCAAGGCUGCAUGAAGGAGCACCCAGAAAG